rnacentral:rRNA from 1 species
GAUAAACGCUGGCGGCGUGCAUGAGACAUGCAAGUCGAACGGGUACUCGGGCUUGCUCGAGUGCUAGUGGCGAACGGCUGAGUAACGCGUAGGUGACCUGUCCCGAAGUGGGGAAUAACUGCCCGAAAGGGUGGCUAAUACCGCAUGUGUUCGUGCGUUCAUUCGCUCGAGCAAAGCCGCAAGGCGCUUUGGGAGGGGCCUGCGUCCGAUUAGCUCGUUGGUGGGGUAACGGCUCACCAAGGCGACGAUCGGUAGGUGGUCUGAGAGGACGAUCACCCAGACUGGGACUGAGACACGGCCCAGACUCCUACGGGAGGCAGCAGUCGGGAAUUUUGCUCAAUGGGCGAAAGCCUGAAGCAGCAACGCCGCGUGAGGGAUGAAGGCCUUCGGGUUGUAAACCUCUUUUUUCAGGGACGAUGAUGACGGUACCUGGAGAAUAAGCCACGGCUAACUACGUGCCAGCAGCCGCGGUAAUACGUAGGUGGCAAGCGUUGUCCGGAUUUACUGGGCGUAAAGAGCGCGCAGGCGGCCAAGUCAGUCGAAUGUGAAAGCCCCCGGCUUAACUGGGGAGGGUCAUUCGAUACUGCUCGGCUCGAAGACAGGAGAGGGAAGUGGAAUUCCCGGUGUAGUGGUGAAAUGCGUAGAUAUCGGGAGGAACACCAGUGGCGAAGGCGACUUUCUGGCCUGUUCUUGACGCUGAGGCGCGAAAGCUAGGGGAGCAAACGGGAUUAGAUACCCCGGUAGUCCUAGCCGUAAACGAUGGAUACUAGGUGUUGGUGGUAUCAACCCCGCCAGUGCCGUAGCUAACGCAUUAAGUAUCCCGCCUGGGGAGUACGGCCGCAAGGCUA